ensembl:lncRNA
ACGACGGCAACAUCUCGCUUCCAGGACCUUAACCAUACUCUCUCAUUAACACAGGCAAAUACACACAGACACACACUCAGGCCACAAGUUGAGACAGCUGCCACACACGGACACCCUCAGAGAGACUCCAUACUCUCUCGAGUACGUUCCUGACAGUGGGUUCUCUUGCCCUGAGUGACCCCACACAUUUUACACAUUCAAUAAUACCUACACAGAGUGGGAAUUUGCAAAGCUCCAGACAGAGGAAACGCUGUGGAUUUGGACAUGGAUCUGCUUCUGUAUCCUGUCCCUCUGCUGAGUGUGUUUCUCCUCAUUCCAACAGUUUCAGCCCAAUCUGCCAUCAAUCUGACCAACCAGACAGAGGUUCCCAUGGUGACCUCACCCACAACACUGUCAUCCAACACUAUGCAUGUGGCUGGCAGCGCAACAACCCCAACUACAGCCCAGCCAAUGACUGAUGUGACAUCAUCCCCAGUACUCUCACCGCCAGGGAACAACCCUCUUGUGACAACCCUCAGUGCCCUGCAGUCAAAUCAAUCAACAGCCUCACCUGGAAAUGCCAGCUGUGACAAUAAGUCACCCACAUCCUCACCUCGACUAUCGUGUCCUAACGUCAGAAGCUCUGCUCAGGCUAAAAUACCUAGUACCCCCUCACAAGACACUGCUGCUGGACCAGAGGUGAGGAAUUCGGAGAAGCCAUGUGUCAUUCACAGUGCAUGUUUAAAAAAACAUG